AAGCUUUUUAGGAUCAAGUGAUAUGAUCAUAGGGCAAUAUGAUAAAAGUAGAAAUCUUUUCAUGUGAUCUCAUUAAUGUUUAACUCUAAACUUGUAGCACUGGAGACUAAAUCUCCAAAUAAAGCUAAGGCAUGUGGAAGUGCUUUGAAAGCUUCAUAGACUGCUAUUAAGGAAACGAUCAAGAGACAAAUGUGAGAGAGAAGGGCAGAUACAGGCAGAAGAAGAGUGAAAAGGCAGGUAGAGAGCUUGCGCCCUUCCUUCCUGUUCUCUGGGUGCCUAUGCAGAGGCCGCCUGCUGUGUCCCAGGCAGCUCAGUCAAAGGGAAGGGCAUCAUAAACAGAGAGAUGAGACCCAAACAGAGGAAAGGAAACAAAAAGCUGAAUGGAAAGAAAAGAGGUCUUGUUUGGCAUAUAAUCCCCCUGGGAAAAUGGGCGAUGAUUCAUUUCUCUAAGCUUAGACUUUGUGUCUCUAAGCGAGCUGAUUCUAGCUUAGUUCCUGGCUUCUAGGAGUCCUCAUUCUGCUGCAGAGAGCAGCAGCCACCACAGGCUGCUGCAUAGACAUGGAGAUUAAUUCAGUUCAACUGAGAGAGCCUGAGUUACAGACACAUAGAUACAGAUAUGACUGCAAGUUCUUUUGCUUCUGGAUGGUUACGUUUUGCUUCAUGACUUGUCAGAGAAAUCUCUUAAGGCCUGUGAGGUCAGAACACAUUGUCGCCUCUCUACUUGGUCCUGAUGGUUGGAAAAAGCUGCUUGAAUUUCCAGAAGAGCCUAAAUAGCAGAAUUAAUACAAUUCUACUACUUUAAUGUCAAAUAAUGGUGAGGGAACAGAAUACAAUAUCAAAUGAAUAAACUUUGGAUCCACCUCAAAGAUAUUAAAUUGCUAAAAGGAGUUCCAUCUAUAAGCUGACUUGCCAGCAUGAGCAACCAUCUGAACAGCAACGUCCAGCGUUUGAGUCUAGUUCCUUUCUCUGAAGGACACAAGAACAACUUUCCUCUCUCCACAGAAUGUUUUCCAUCUUGGUGUUAUUUGUGAGCUGUCUAAAGCCCUAAAGAGGAAGAGCUGCUCCAAGAGGUCACCAGUAAGAAUCCAUGAUAAUGCUACCACUAAAGUCUUUAGCAGAGUAGCAGAAACCUGGGCCUGCAUCCAAACUUUUGGCUUUUGCACUGUGAAAUCCAGUGAGGUGGACCUGCAAGAUGCGUAGGACAGCAUGUGACAACCGCCUUCUCUGAGCAGAUGCGCUGGAUGCCACCUCUACCAUCUCCCAGGUGACCUUCAGUGCAGCCAAGAUGCUCAGCUACAAGAUGCAGGAGCUUGGGAAAAUGUGGCCACAGAAUGGGAAAGGACAGCCCGCCCUGGGGACGCAAGAAUUCUUCCUUGUGCUUCCGGUGGUGGGAGUCCCCUGCAGACUGGCUCUUCACAUGGCAGCUGAAAUGCAAAGCCAGUGCCAUGAAACCAGAGUGGAGAGGGGGCUUUGAGACAGCGAAGCUGUUUGAAAGCAGAGUCUUACAGGGCGUAAGAAAAAAUUAUAUCUCUUGGAUUUAUUUCUCCGGGAAGUGUUAGCUGCCCCUGGAUUUAAUGUCACCCUGGGUUCCCAGGACACAGCAACGAGUAAAACUAUUUUCACUGUCCCUGAAGUGUCCCCAUUGUACCAAGAAGCCAAUGCCUCAAAAGAAGACGCACAAAUGGCAGUUACAAACUACAGGCCUGCGAGGGAACGCUGAGCGUGUUCAUUUGAACAACAAUAAAAUCAUGCUGGAAUCACAGGUGUAUUUUACAAGCUUGGAGUUGAUUCCUCACAAGGGCAAAGUCUGACUGCUUCUCAGAUAUCAAAGCUCUGUUUCCUGCAGUGUGGUCCUUAAAAAUUUUAUGUGGUGUUUAUCAGUGACUGCAGGCUCAGACCCGCGGUCACCAAUUGCCUAAUUACUCUUGCGUGGCUUCUUUUGCUCCCGCCCUUCCGUUUGCUGCAGCCAGGAAUUAUGACCCUGAUUGUUCCAGGCUGUUUCUUGAACAUUUAUGUGUUUUCUUUCACUGAAAAUAUCACAGGGUGUCACCACCUCCCUUCUGGGGCUGGAACAGGAGAUAUUUUGUAAGCUUGUCUCAACCUCCAAAGCACAAAGGAGUGUGAGGGCUAGGGGCUCUCUCCCCAGGCGGUUUCCAUACGCUGCCCCUCACUUGAAUGCAUAGCUUUUCUUCAGGUCUUCCUCUCACAGCCACGGCGAUAAGGCGAAACCUAGCCCCAAGAUGAAUUGUCCUCCUUUGACGAGUUUCUUGAAUAUUAAACAGAAGACAUAUUUAUUCAAUCCUCAAGUAUAAUCAAAGUGACCAGCCUCUGGCUCUGGGUUUAUCUGAACCCGGAGAUAGCAGAAAUGAAUCUGUGAAUGAACUGAGAAUAAAAUUUUGUUUUCCUAGAAGGCUAUAUCUUUGCAAAGCACAGAGUGUCCGGCCCCCAGGCACAGCCGGCUUUACUGUCUCCGUGGUUGGGUACC